UUAAAUGGCUGCAGUAUUUUGACUGUACAAAGGUAGCAUAAUAAUUAGUUUCUUAAUUAGGAACUUGUAUGAAUGGAUACMUGAGGGAUUUUUUUUAUUUUUUUUAUUUUUAGAAUUUUAUUUUUAGGUUAAAAAGCUUAAUUUUAUUUUUGGGACGAAAAGACCCUAUAGAACUUGAAAUUUUUAAUUUUUUUUUAUUUUUAGUUAUUUUAUAUUUUCAUUUAUUUUAAAUUUUUAAUUGGGGUGAUUAAUAAAUUUAACUUUAUUUUUUUUUUUCAUUUAUAUAUGUUUUUUUUGAUCUUUAUUAUUAUGAUUGAAAGAAAAGUUACCUUAGGGAUAACAGCGUAAUUUAAAUGGGAAGUUCUUAUUUAUAUUUAAGUUUGCGACCUCGAU
rnacentral:rRNA from 1 species